GCGGCAGGCCUAACACAUGCAAGUCGGACGGUAACAGAAAGCAGCUUGCUGCUUUGCUGACGAGUGGCGGACGGGUGAGUAAUGUCUGGGAAACUGCCUGAUGGAGGGGGAUAACUACUGGAAACGGUAGCUAAUACCGCAUAACGUCGCAAGACCAAAGAGGGGGACCUUCGGGCCUCUUGCCAUCGGAUGUGCCCAGAUGGGAUUAGCUAGUAGGUGGGGUAACGGCUCACCUAGGCGACGAUCCCUAGCUGGUCUGAGAGGAUGACCAGCCACACUGGAACUGAGACACGGUCCAGACUCCUACGGGAGGCAUCAGUGGGGAAUAUUGCACAAUGGGCGCAAGCCUGAUGCAGCCAUGCCGCGUGUAUGAAGAAGGCCUUCGGGUUGUAAAGUACUUUCAGCGGGGAGGAAGGGAGUAAAGUUAAUACCUUCGCUCAUUGACGUUACCCGCAGAAUAAGCACCGGCUAACUCCGUGCCAGCAGCCGCGGUAAUACGGAUGGUGCAAGCGUUAAUCGGAAUUACUGGGCGUAAAGCGCACGCAGGCGGUUUGUUAAGUCACAUGUGACAUCCCCGGGCUCUGCCUGUGAACUGCAUCUGAUACUGUGAAGCUUGAGUCUCGUAGAGGGGGGUAGAAUUUCAGGUGUAGCGGUGAAAUGCGUAGAGAUCUGGAGGAAUACCGGUGGCGAAGGCGGCCCCCUGGACGAAGACUGACGCUCAGGUGCGAAAGCGUGGGGAGCAAACAGGAUUAGAUACCCUGGUAGUCCACGCCGUAAACGAUGUCGACUUGGAGGUUGUGCCCUUGAGGCGUGGCUUCCGGAGCUAACGCGUUAAGUCGACCGCCUGGGGAGUACGGCCGCAAGGUUAAAACUCAAAUGAAUUGACGGGGGCCCGCACAAGCGGUGGAGCAUGUGGUUUAAUUCGAUGCAACGCGAAGAACCUUACCUGGUCUUGACAUCCACGGAAGUUUUCAGAGAUGAGAAUGUGCCUUCGGGAACCGUGAGACAGGUGCUGCAUGGCUGUCGUCAGCUCGUGUUGUGAAAUGUUGGGUUAAGUCCCGCAACGAGCGCAACCCUUAUCCUUUGUUGCCAGCGGUCCGGCCGGGAACUCAAAGGAGACUGCCAGUGAUAAACUGGAGGAAGGUGGGGAUGACGUCAAGUCAUCAUGGCCCUUACGACCAGGGCUACACACGUGCUACAAUGGCGCAUACAAAGAGAAGCGACCUCGCGAGAGCAAGCGGACCUCAUAAAGUGCGUCGUAGUCCGGAUUGGAGUCUGCAACUCGACUCCAUGAAGUCGGAAUCGCUAGUAAUCGUGGAUCAGAAUGCCACGGUGAAUACGUUCCCGGGCCUUGUACACACCGCCCGUCACACCAUGGGAGUGGGUUGCAAAAGAAGUAGGUAGCUUAACCUUCGGGAGGGCGCUUACCACUUUGUGAUUCAUGACUGGGGUGAAGUCAUAACAA
rnacentral:rRNA from 1 species